AAAAUGAGAAAAGAACAGAAGCAAUUGAAGCAACACAACCAUAUCUAAGAUUUUUAUUGCCCAACGUUAAAGAAGAAUUACAACGGUUACUUACUUUUAUGGCUCUUGCAUCAGAACCUAAUGCCUACAAGGUGCAAAAACAGUUUGCUAACAAAACGGUGGUCCUGAAAACUCUUGCCAAAGCAGUUUUGCAAUCCAGAUCAUUAUUAAAACUCCGGACAGAACGACUAGUCUUAUUUCUACUGAAGUUUCAUUCUGAGCUCUUCAAGGCACCGGUUACUUUAUUAGAUCUGAUUAAUAAGAAACUUAAGAUGCUUCUACAUGGAGACGAUCCAGAUGCCAUAUCAGGUAUUGAUCCAGACUUACUCUUUCUUCAUCGUUACGUGACUGAUACAGGUACAUAA
rnacentral:lncRNA from 1 species